AUUGAACGCUGGCGGCAUGCUUUACACAUGCAAGUCGAACGGUAACAGGGAGCUUGCUCCGCUGACGAGUGGCGAACGGGUGAGUAAUGUAUCGGAACGUACCCAGUCGUGGGGGGAUAACGUAGCGAAAGUUACGCUAAUACCGCAUACGUCCUGAGGGAGAAAGCGGGGGACCGUAAGGCCGUCGCGCGAAUUGGAGCGGCCGAUGUCGGAUUAGCUAGUUGGUAGGGUAAAGGCCUACCAAGGCGACGAUCCGUAGCGGGUCUGAGAGGAUGAUCCGCCACACUGGGACUGAGACACGGCCCAGACUCCUACGGGAGGCAGCAGUGGGGAAUUUUGGGACAAUGGGCGAAAGCCUGAUCCAGCCAUGCCGCGUGUCUGAAGAAGGCCUUCGGGUUGUAAGGAC
rnacentral:rRNA from 1 species